rnacentral:rRNA from 1 species
UAAGACGAAUCGUGCGAACGUUAUUCGGAAUCACUGGGCCUAAAGCGCGUGUAGGCGGCCCGGCACGUCUCUGGCUGAAAUCCCCCGGCUCAACCGGGGAAGGGGCCGGGAUACGACCGGGCUGGAGGGGGGUAGGGGGGACGGGAACUCCGGGUGGAGCGGUGAAAUGCGUUGAGAUCCGGAGGAACGCCCGCGGCGAAAGCGCGUCCCUGGACCCCGCCUGACGCUGAGACGCGAAAGCCAGGGGAGCGAACGGG